rnacentral:rRNA from 1 species
GGGCGUAAAGAGCUCGUAGGUGGUUUGUCGCGUUGUCCGUGAAAUCUCACAACUCAAUUGUGAGCGUGCGGGCGAUACGGGCAGACUGGAGUACUGCAGGGGAGACUGGAAUUCCUGGUGUAGCGGUGGAAUGCGCAGAUAUCAGGAGGAACACCGGUGGCGAAGGCGGGUCUCUGGGCAGUAACUGACGCUGAGGAGCGAAAGCGUGGGGAGCGAACAGGAUUAGAUACCCUGGUAGUCCACGCCGUAAACGGUGGGUACUAGGUGUGGGUUUCCUUCCUUGGGAUCCGUGCCGUAGCUAACGCAUUAAGUACCCCGCCUGGGGAGUACGGCCGCAAGGCUAAAACUCAAAGAAAUUGACGGGGGCCCGCACAAGCGGCGGAGCAUGUGGAUUAAUUCGAUGCAACGCGAAGAACCUUACUUGGGUUUGACAUGCACAGGACGCCGGCAGAGAUGUCGGCUCCCUUGUGGCCUGUGUGCAGGUGGUGCAUGGCUGUCGUCAGCUCGUGUCGUGAGAUGUUGGGUUAAGUCCCGCAACGAGCGCAACCCUUGUCUCAUGUUGCCAGCACGUUAUGGUGGGGACUCGUGAGAGACUGCCGGGGUCAACUCGGAGGAAGGUAAU